CACGUAGGCACCAAGCGUUGUCCGGAUUUAUUGGGCGUAAAGAGCUCGUAGGCGGUUCAGUAAGUCGGGUGUGAAAACUUUGGGCUUAACCCAAAGCGUGCAUCCGAUACUGCUGUGACUUGAGUUCGGUAGGGGAGCAGGGAAUUCCUAGUGUAGCGGUGAAAUGCGCAGAUAUUAGGAGGAACACCGGUGGCGAAGGCGCUGCUCUGGGCCGAAACUGACGCUGAGGAGCGAAAGCGUGGGUAGCAAACAGG
rnacentral:rRNA from 1 species